AGCUUUGCACAGUGGCAGAAUCAUAGUCAAUUAGGUUUAUGCAGAGCAUGACUAUUGCUAAUGGGAAAGUUUUCCCAAUAUCCUGCCAUGACGAUUUGCAAUACAGUAGGCAUUGGCAAUUUUUGACAGUCUCUACAGAGA